CUCACCUGUUUUAUUUUGGUCUUUUAUAUAAAAUUAAGUUAUCUUUGGUGUUUUGUAUAAGAUUGAGUCAAAAGUUCUUCAGGUGUGCUGCAGCUCAGGGAAGGGCACAUGGUAUGCGUGAGAGGUGCUGAAUGGAUCAAGGAAGAUCGAUGGAAGUGCAGUGCAGAUCACUAAGGUUGCCCACAAUUAUGUGGCAAUGAUGUGAGCGAGAGUGGGGUGGAGAAUACACCACCACAUCCUGGCUGCAAAACUCCAGACCACGAAUAAGUAGCAGAGACAUACAGGAAACAUGAAGACUUUUCUGUUAACAGGCUGAUGCCCCUCUUCUGGUGCACCAAUUGCGUCCCUACCUGAACCGGGAGGCCCUCACAACAGUCACUCGUGCCCUUG